rnacentral:lncRNA from 1 species
AUGUCCUGGAGAAGAACAAGAAUCCUAUUGCUUUAACUGCUUUAUAUUUAGCUUAAAGUCUUCAGACUUAUAUGGGAAGAGAGAUAAGACAAAGCAAAUGGCAGGUUUUAUCUCCUAGAUGUCACUAUUUGAACAUUAACAUUUUUGGUGACCCUUUGCUUUAUAUUAUCCAAAAUGUAGUAAGUUAUGCUCUCAAUUGAUUUUGCUCUUUUAUUUUUUUCUGUUAAUUUUUUUCAUGUCAUAAUUUAAAUAAUUUAAUGUAGUACACAAGAUCCAUUUUUCUGAGAAAAAUACCAGGAAAAGUGACCUUUAUUGCCAAGAUAGUGUUGGCUGGAAUCAUACUUGCUGAUGAAAGAUAGGGAAUGCCAGCCUAUAAAGGAGGUGGAGACCUGAUCCCCAGUUUCAGCUCCUUGAUGUUCCCCCCUUUUAAAUGUCUUGAUCUGCACAAGUUCAAUCCACCGCUGAAAAACGCUACCAAAACCAGGUGAUUUUCUGCAAGAAACAGAAUGAUACCUAGGCACCAAAAAACCCACUCAAUUUAAAUGUUUAAUUUUGUUUAAGGAAAGUAACAACUACCUGAAAUGUCAGAAGGGGAAAUCUGAAUAGGAAGGCCAGGAAUACAAUAGUGCACUACUGCUAGUGCCUGAGAUCAGAUUAUUCCUGGAAAAACAAAGCUGCUCGUCCUCCAUUACCAGGUCCUACUUUCAAUGCAGCAGCAAAAAACAUGAAUAUCUUAACUCGCCCCCCAGCAAUUCAGCGAGUACAUGGGAGAACAGACUGGGUGGCCAAAUAUGGAGGGAACAGAUAGAAAAUACCACCCUGUGUGGAUAUUACAUGCUCUGUCUUCAGUUCUCCUGCACUUGGAAACCUGAAAAGCCUAUUUGCUCCAGCUUUUCCUAAGACUAUGCAAUAGUAGAGAAGAAAAAUGAGACUGUAUUCUAUUUCCUGUAUAGUUACAUAUAGUACCAUGUAAAAUACUGGCUGUAAAGCAGGAUGCAAUGAAGUAUUGUACAACACAUAUUGCCAAAACUGAGAAGUAGAUUUCACCUGAUGUUUUCUGUAGAUAGAUCUCCUGUUCUUGCACUCUUUGGAACAACUAGGGUUAGGGUUGUUCAUCCAGUGCAACAUCUGCUGCUGGGUUGUGCUUGAAGCACACAAGCAGCAUGAAGAAGAAGGGCUGAAGCAGAGCAGCACCAGGCUUCCAGGUGUCAGGCUGCUUCCUUAGCAGGGAGAUGAGAGUGAAAGCACAGAUCUGGCUUUGUGAAGAACAUCAGUCUCCUGCAAGGACUGCAGAACUCACUUGUAACUAAGAGUUACUCAGGGUCUGUAAGGUGCAAAUAUUCAUGUAACAAUGAGAACUGAAACCCUUGUGGUCGGAUGCAGGCAAUCCACUGAUCGAUACUACACAAGGAAGGCCUAGAAAUCUGGCCAAUAGAGGGCUGUAGAAUGAUACAGCAAUAUUGGAAAAUAGCUAAACAAGUACUGAAUACUACUUACCAGGCUGUGAAGUAAAGCCUAACAAUCAGAUUCUGCUGU